rnacentral:rRNA from 1 species
GAACGACUCGUGGCAAUGGAUAUCUUCGCUCUCACAUUGAUGAAGAACGUAGCAAAAUACGAUACUUGGUGUGAAUCGCAGAAUCCCGUCAAGUCUUUAAAUGCAAGUUGCGCCCGAAGCCGCUGGGCCAAAGGCACAUCUGCCUGGGUGUCAUGC